rnacentral:ncRNA from 1 species
ACCGCAGGGGCGCUGACGCAAGUCGGCUGAGAUUGAGGAUAGUGCUUCUCAGGUCACCUUGAACCUGAUCCGGGUAAUGCCGGCGUAGGAAGCAGUU